GGGCCCGCACAAGCGGUGGAGCAUGUGGCUUAAUUCGAUGCAACGCGAAGAACCUUACCAAGCCUUGACAUGUACGAGACCGGCCCUGAAAGGGGCCUUUCCUUCGGGACUGGUACACAGGUGCUGCAUGGCUGUCGUCAGCUCGUGUCGUGAGAUGUUGCGUUAAGUCGCGCAACGAGCGCAACCCCUGUCCUUAGUUUCCAUCAUUUAGUUGGGCACUCUAGGGAGACAAACCCUCUCUGAGGGUGGGAAGGUGGGGACGACGUCAAGUCAGGAUGGCCCUUACGGUUUGGGCUGCACACGUGCUACAAUGCCUGGUACAGAGGGAAGCAAUACCGUGAGGUGGAGCAAAUCCUCAAAACCAGGCCCAGUUCGGAUUGUAGUCUGCAACUCGACUACAUGAAGUUGGAAUCGCUAGUAAUGGCGCAUC
rnacentral:rRNA from 1 species